GCAUGGUCUUAGCUUGCUAAGGCCGAUGGCGACCGGCGCACGGGUGAGUAACACGUAUCCAACCUGCCGUCUACUCUUGGACAGCCUUCUGAAAGGAAGAUUAAUACAAGAUGGCAUCAUGAGUCCACAUGUUCACAUGAUUAAAGGUAUUCCGGUAGACGAUGGGGAUGCGUUCCAUUAGAUAGUAGGCGGGGUAACGGCCCACCUAGUCUUCGAUGGAUAGGGGUUCUGAGAGGAAGGUCCCCCACAUUGGAACUGAGACACGGUCCAAACUCCUACGGGAGGCAGCAGUGAGGAAUAUUGGUCAAUGGGCGAGAGCCUGAACCAGCCAAGUAGCGUGAAGGAUGACUGCCCUAUGGGUUGUAAACUUCUUUUAUAAAGGAAUAAAGUCGGGUAUGGAUACCCGUUUGCAUGUACUUUAUGAAUAAGGAUCGGCUAACUCCGUGCCAGCAGCCGCGGUAAUACGGAGGAUCCGAGCGUUAUCCGGAUUUAUUGGGUUUAAAGGGAGCGUAGAUGGAUGUUUAAGUCAGUUGUGAAAGUUUGCGGCUCAACCGUAAAAUUGCAGUUGAUACUGGAUAUCUUGAGUGCAGUUGAGGCAGGCGGAAUUCGUGGUGUAGCGGUGAAAUGCUUAGAUAUCACGAAGAACUCCGAUUGCGAAGGCAGCCUGCUAAGCUGCAACUGACAUUGAG
rnacentral:rRNA from 1 species